rnacentral:rRNA from 1 species
UACGUAGGCAGCAAGCGUUGUUCGGAGUUACUGGGCGUAAAGGGUGUGUAGGCGGUUUGUUAAGUUUGGUGUGAAAUCUCCCGGCUUAACUGGGAGGGUGCGCCGAAUACUGAAUGACUAGAGUGCGGGAGAGGUGAGUGGAAUUCCUCGUGUAGCAGUGAAAUGCGUAGAUAUGUGGAGGAACACCGAUGGCGAAGGCAGCCCCCUGGGUCAAGACUGACGCUCAUGCACGAAAGCGUGGGGAGCAAACAGG